rnacentral:rRNA from 1 species
UUCGCCCUUUUCCGGUUGAUCCUGCCGGACCUGACUGCUAUCGGAUUGAUACUAAGCCAUGCGAGUCAUUGUAGCAAUACAAGGCAGACGGCUCAGUAACGCGUAGUCAACCUACCCUAUGGACGGGAAUAACCUCGGGAAACUGAGUAUAAUGCCCGAUAGAACACUAUACCUGGAAUGGUUUGUGUUUCAAAUGAUUUAUUGCCGUAGGAUGGGACUGCGGCCUAUCAGUUUGUUGGUGAGGUAAUGGCCCACCAAGACUAUUACAGGUACGGGCUCUGAGAGGAGUGGCCCGGAGAUGGGUACUGAGACACGGACCCAGGCCCUAUGGGGCGCAGCAGGCGAGAAAACUUUGCAAUGUGCGAAAGCACGACAAGGUUAAUCCGAGUGGUUUCUGCUAAAGGAACCCUUUGACAGUCCUAGAAACACUGUUGAAUAAGGGGUGGGCAAGUUCUGGUGUCAGCCGCCGCGGUAAAACCAGCACCUCAAGUGGUCAGGGUGAUUAUUGGGCCUAAAGCAUCCGUAGCCGGCUCAGUAAGUUUUCGGUUAAAUCUGUACGCUCAACGU